rnacentral:rRNA from 1 species
UACGUAGGGGGCAAGCGUUGUCCGGAAUUAUUGGGCGUAAAGCGCGCGCAGGCGGUUCUUUAAGUCUGGUGUUUAAACCUGGGGCUCAACUUCAGGUCGCACUGGAAACUGGGGGACUUGAGUACAGAAGAGGAGAGUGGAAUUCCACGUGUAGCGGUGAAAUGCGUAGAUAUGUGGAGGAACACCAGUGGCGAAGGCGACUCUCUGGGCUGUAACUGACGCUGAGGCGCGAAAGCGUGGGGAGCAAACAGG